GAGACUGAGACCGAGCUGGAGGCAAAGACGAGGCUGAGCCAACCGGCGCAGGUAAGGAGGACAAGACGAGCUGCUAGGGAGGCCUGGACACAGCAAGGGAGGGUUUGGGGACUGAACCCAGAUCUUGGUGUUCGGAGAGAUCCCAUCACGUGUCAGGAGCGAACUGAAACUGGCGCGGGGAUUCUCGUCUUAAAACAUUGGGAAAAGGGUAGGAAGCCAGUUUCUGGGGGUGAUUACCGGGCUUCGGUCAUUAGGCGGGUUUAGGUGUCCGGAUUUAUUGCUUGCCCGUGGCGUGGUCUCAGGUGGAAAACCAUGCUGCGGUAUCAGGUUGGGGAGCAACCCAAGUGAACUACGGGGCAGAGAAGGUAUCGUUCAAGUCAUGUAUUUACUCUGAAUGGAGAGAAGAAAAGAACAGAGGCUGUGUCAGGCGAAAACUCUCCGCGGAAGCCAGAAAGGCAGCCCCAGUUUCUUAAUGGGCGGGGGUGGGGGAGAUGACUUUUUCUGUUGUCUCUGAGACAGGUAAUACGGGAGAGAGGGAGAAGAGGUAUUCUAUUGUACAGUAUACCCCCAGUAUCCAUUUUCUACUCUUUAGACUCCAAUUUCAAAUUAUCUCGCUUUGCUCUUCAGUUGCAGGUUCCGAUCUUUGGGUGCUCCGGGAGCCGCUUUCCAGCCCUUGCUUCUGGACCUAUGGAUUCUCCAUCUAGCGUUUCUUCCUAUUCCUCCUACUCUCUCUCUUCCUCUUUUUCCACCUCCCCAGCAAACAGUGAUUUUGGCUUCCCCUCCAAAAGUGAGAGGGAGGACAAAGGGCCCAAGCCAAAUACUUUUGGGCAGAGGGGAGGUUCACGGCCCAGCCCAGGUCCUAUUCGCAGCAGGCAUCGAUCCAAGCUUUCCAGUAACCAACAUACAGCAUCUCACCCGGAACCGCGGGGCUUGGCUUCUUCUAUGGCAGGAUCUGGGGUCAAAAGAUCAAGAGAUGGUGAAUUGGAAACCAGUCAGAACAUUCAAGGUUGUACCACAGAAGGAGAUCUGCUGUUUGCUCAAAAGUGUAAAGAACUCCAAGGAUAUAUAACCCCUCUCACAGACCUACUAAAUAGACUGAAGAUGGGUCGUUUUGAAAGAGGAUUGAGCAGUUUCCAGCAAAGUGUGGCAAUGGACAGGAUCCAGCGUAUUGUAGGUGUUUUGCAGAAGCCAUAUAUGGGGGAACGUUAUCUGGGAACCUUGCUACAGGUAGAAGGGAUGUUAAAGACUUGGUUUCCUCAUAUAGCUGCCCAGAAAUCAUUGCUGGGUCACAGCAGGCAUCAGCUGACCAAGUUUGCUGAUGGGAAAUUGAACACUAUCUGCCUCAAAUAUCAAUCUUUAUUCUCUGAGCUACAGAAAAGAAGAAAGGAGAUGGGAAUGUUUGUGAACAAGAGUGCCACCAAUUUCUUCGUCCUUUCUCCGUCAUCCUUUGGGUCUUGCAGAGUGGAAACUUAAAUUCAAGGUCAUGGCAAAACAUCUCAAGUUCAUUGCUAGGACCGUGAUGGUACAAGAAGGGAACGUGGAAGGUGCAUACAGAACUCUAACCAGACGGAGCCUCAAG